CCUACGGGGGGCAGCAGUGGGGAAUAUUGGGCAAUGGGCGCAAGCCUGACCCAGCAACGCUGCGUGAAGGAAGAAGGCCUUCGGGUUGUAAACUUCUUUUUUCAGGGACGAAGAAAGUGCCGCUACCUGAGGUAUAAGCCACGGCUAACUACGUGCCAGCAGCCGCGGUAAUACGUAGGUGGCAAGCGUUAUCCGGAUUUAUUGGGUGUACAGGGCGUGUAGGCGGGAGCGCAAGUCAGAUGUGAAAACUCAGGGCUCAACCCUGAGCCUGCAUUUGAAACUGUGGUUCUUGAGUGCUGGAGAGGCAAUCGGAAUUCCGUGUGUAGCGGGGAAAUGCGUAGAUAUACGGAAGAACACCAGUGGCGAAGGCGGAUUGCUGGACAGUAACUGACGCUGAGGCGCGAAAGCGUGGGGAGCAAACAGGAUUAGAUACCCUUGUAGUC
rnacentral:rRNA from 1 species